ACCCCAGUGCUUGGCACAAAGUAAGCCCUUAACAAAUACCAGAAUUAUUAUCAUUAUUAUUUUCUCAAGUAGCAGGGCUAGCUUGGGAAAAGGCCCUGGCCCCUGGAAAUGGCCUCUAGAUGGGCCAGUCUGUGAGAAGCUGCAUUCCUAUAUUGGGGAAUGGAAAGUCAGUUUUACAAGCUCUCUUUUGUUUUGAUUUAACCUCCCACUCGGGCAGAUAGCAUCAAAACAAAGAGGGUUUAAAUAUGCAUUUAACCUCUUUCCUUCCCCUACCUACCUGCUCUUGACUCACAGCCCCACCACGAGGAGAGGAGGAGGUGAAUGUGCCCUAACCCUGUUUGAAGGAUGGAAAAGGCAACGAGUGAAGGAAGAAGAAAAUUCUACAAUCAGCCCAUCAGAGGGGGAGUGGAUAUUGCUCACCAGGCCACCACUGUCCUGGCUACACAAGGACUUCAAUCUGGCCCUGGGUGCCAUGGAACAAUCUGACUGGAUUGCAGGAAGCCUUUCUCCAUUAACUGCAUCUUCUGCUUCAUCUGGAGGGAGCUCCGUGUCAAGAAGAGGCGUCUACAAUGCAGGACACUGAACUUGGCCUAGAGAAAAACCUGGAGAUUACGUACUGUGGAUUGAAUGCUCUUUGGAGGUCACUGAAGUACAGCUGUACCCACCCGCCCAUUGGAUCCAAUGAACUUCCUCAUAGUAAGGUAAUAUUUGUGGAAUGCGUGAGUGGAGCGCCCAGCACACUUUAUCUCACACUGUGGGCAUGUCCUUUGCCCUGCUUAUGGGAGGAGAGGGGGGAGUGCGUGCCACUCGUGAUGCUUUUCUGCGCUUUUGAAUUUGCCUUUUGGCCUCAAUCAUUUAACCAGUGUUAUUUAUUAAGGGCUUACUGUAUGUAGAGUGAUUCUG